rnacentral:pre_miRNA from 1 species
AUAAUACUUUCUUCGUCUGAAAAAAUUUGUCCCUUAAAUGGAUGUAUCUAGCAUUAAGUUAGUGUUAAAUACAUUUACUUGAGGGACAAGUUUUUUCGGACAAAGGGAGUAUUAU